rnacentral:rRNA from 1 species
UACAGAGGUGGCAAACGUUAUUCGGAAUCACUGGGCAUAAAGGGUCCGUAGGCGGCGUCGUAAGUCCGGGUUGAAAUCCCCUGGCUCAACCAGGGAACUGGCCCGGAUACUGUGACGCUCGAGUGCCGGAGGGGUGAGUGGAACUCUCAGUGGAGCGGUGAAAUGCGUAGAUAUUGAGAGGAACACCGAGGGCGAAGGCGACUCACUGGUCGGCAACUGACGCUGAGGGACGAAAGCGUGGGGAUCAAACGGG